rnacentral:rRNA from 1 species
GAUGAACGCUGACUGCAUGCUUAACACAUGCAAGUCCACUUGUGGCCGACGGGUGAGUAACGCGUAAGGAACUUGCCUCACGGGUAGGGCCAACAUUUGCAAACGAAUGCUACUACCACAUACUGUGGGAGAGCUUUGCGUCCAAUUGGCUAGUUGGAGAGGUAACGGCUCACCAAGGCGAUGAUGGGUAGCCGGCCUGGGAGGGUGAUCGGCCAAAAGAGGAGUGGGACGCGACCCUUACGCCAACGGGAGGCAGGAGUGGGGAAUUGUGGACAAUGGGCCAAAGUCUGAUGCAGGAAUUCUGAGUGCAAGAUGAAGUUUUCGAGAUGUAAAGUGCUUUCAGUUAGGAAGCGGUACCAACAGAAGAAGUGACGGCUAACUCCGUGCCAGCAGCCGCGGUAAUAC